CAUCAGUGGGUUUAAAGCAGCCGUUUGUCCUCUGUUCCGAUCUCUCGUUCUCUCUCCGCUGUAAAGUCCCGCAGGAGUUGGACGGAGAUCCCUCCCCUUGAGAAGACCAUGAGUCAGGCAGAUGGUGAAGUGCACCAGGCCGCUCAGUACACAAUACACCAGCACAGCAGCUCGCUGAUAAUAAUAACUCGAUCUGAAGCAGCCAAUCAGCCGCCAACAACUACGUCCUCGUUUGCAGACUUCCUUUUUAAUAAUCUAGGCGAGGCUCGAGUCUACCUGCCCUUAAAGAAACACCCCACGUGGAUUUAUUCCAGCACGGUGACAUUCAUUCAACAAUCCAGCCAAAGUAUUGUCUAUACUGGGCGAUAAUGGUGACAGUCUGACCAGCCCUCUUCAAUGCAGCAGCAGCUUGCUCCUCGCCACUCAGGUCAGCUGGUCCACCUGCCAGGAUGAACGAUACAAAUAUUCCUUCUCCAUCUUCCCCACCCACGAUAUUGAAACCAAGUCCUGUGGAGCCCUUGUGCAGAAGAACCUUCCGUGGCUCCCUAGAAAAAAUGGAGCAAAACCAUUAGGACAUCUCCUGUGACUGGCCUGCAAUCAGAGAAACAUUCCAGGUUGCCCAGUCCUGGCAUCCUGAGCCUGAGCCACACUCAGAAACCAUCAAAAGCCAUACACAAGGCAGUAACCAGAGACAUUCAUUCAACUUAAAAUGUACCACAGACACCUCAAAACUUUGCUUUCCUCAAUGUAUUGUUCAUGUUUUCCA